AUGACUUCUUUGGGUCAGGGUAACUUGUGCCUAGAGCUGAGCUCCACAGUGAACUCCAUCUUCCCUCAGGUGACCUGUGUGGUUGUCACAGCGGCCAUGCAUCUUCUCUUUCUGGUUGCCUUCUCCUGGAUGCUGGCAGAGGGACUGCUGCUUUGGAGCAAGGUGGUAGCCGUGAGCAUGCACCCAGGCCCCAGGAUGAGGCUGUACUAUACUGCAGGCUGGGGCAAAUACUUACAUCCUGGUCCAUGUUGUAAUGAUCACUCUAUCCAGCACCCACCGCCGUGCACGCAUGCUGAGCCCACAGCCUGACCUACAGCAGAAGAUCAAGUUCCAAAUGUGGUAUUUUUAGGCCCUGAACACAUAGAAUGGGGGCUCUGGAACAUUGGAACUCAGAGAGGAUGUGUGGUUUGCCAAGACUAAGCAGGAGGCUUACCGGCCACUUCAAGGAUCACUGGGAGGACAGUGAGGCCAUACAGAGAACCUUUGCCCUCUCCUUAGGUGUCUCUAGCUUACUGUGGGGUUGGCUCAGGCCACCCUAUCUGUGAUGAGAAAGGGUUAGGAAAGGGUUCAAUCAGGAGACUGAUACUGAAGUCACACAAUGAAGCCAUCCAUGACAGCUUGGCGACAAGGAAGUAUCUGAGCACCUGCGUCUUCCUGUCUA
rnacentral:lncRNA from 1 species